GUUUAAAUUUUAGCGUUUUUUUAGGUAAAAUGGAAAACUGUGAAAAACUCGUGAGAAAAGGAAAAUUUGUGAUUUUUUUUUUCACUAAAAUAUAGUUCGGUCUUUUACCUUUCAUUUGAGUACCAUAUCGAUAUAUUUUAGUCGGACUUUCUAUCUUCCAUAAUUCAUACAAAAAGACUCUGCAAAUGAUCUUCAAAGGGCGCCCAGGGCGCGGGGAGUGAGGAAAAUUUUUGGCUCCCCUUCCAGGAUCUCUUAUUUUUCGACCCUUAACAAUAUUUAAUCAUCAAAACGCGAAUUCCCGAGUUUUAAACGUUUUGGUCGUUAACUUCCUAACUAUUACUGUCGGCAAUUCUAGUUUUCAAAUUUUAGU